rnacentral:rRNA from 1 species
AUUGAACGCUGGCGGCAGGCCUAACACAUGCAAGUCGAGCGGGGUUUUCGGACCUAGCGGCGGACGGGUGAGUAAUGCGUAGGAAGCUGCCCGAUAGAGGGGGAUACCAGUUGGAAACGACGGUUAAUACCGCAUAAUGUCUACGGACCAAAGUGUGGGACCUUCGGGCCACAUGCUAUCGGAUGAGCCUCCGUGGGAUUAGCUAGUUGGUGAGGUACUGGCUCACCAAGCAGACGCUCUCUAGCUGGUUUGAGAGGAUGAUCAGCCACACUGGAACUGGGACACGGUCCAGACUACUACGGGGGGCAGCAGUGGGGAAUAUUGGACAAUGGGCGCAAGCCUGAUCCAGCCAUGCCGCGUGUGUGAAGAAGGCCUUCGGGUUGUAAAGCACUUUCAGCGAGGAGGAAGGGUGGUGUGUUAAUAGCACAUCAUUUUGACGUUACUCGCAGAAGAAGCACCGGCUAACUCUGUGCCAGCCGCCGCGGUAA